rnacentral:rRNA from 1 species
GUGGCAAGUCUUCCAGUAUGGGGAGCAAACAGCUAUGGGUCAAGCCCGAUACCUUUAAGAGAAGUCUUAUUGUGAGGGCGAGUUAUAUAACACCAUAGGGCUGGCCGUCCCAUAUGAAAAGAUUUUAUUAGAAUUGAAUGAAACUUUGUUUAUAUAUUGAUAAUGACAGUAUAUAUAUCGUGUCUUGACUAAUUGCGUGCCAGCAGUCGCGGUAAUACGUAAGAGACUAGUGUUAUUCAUCUUAAUUAGGUUUAAAGGGUACCCAGACGGUCAAUAUAGCUUAUAAAAUGUUAGUAUAUGACUAGAGUUUUAUGUAAGAGGGCAGUACUUGAGGAGGAGAGAUGAAAUUUCGUGAUACCAAAGGGACUCUGUAAAGGCGAAGGCAGCCCUCUAUGUAAAAACUGACGUUGAAGGACGAAGGCACAGAGAACAAACAGGAUUAGAUACCCAAGUAGUCUUUGCAGUAAAUGAUGAAUGCCAUAGGUUA